rnacentral:lncRNA from 1 species
CUGAUCUACGCUCCCUCUGACGAUUUUUGCUAGCUGAGUGAUGUGACGUGCUGAUGUCACUUAAUUGUAUUUUCUCUUUUUAUAGAAAGAUUAAUCUUCUGGAGAUAUUUUUAUUUUGUUGUGCUUUUAGAGAACAAGCUUUUAAAUUUACUAAUUAUUCCUCUUUAAAAAGUUAUUUAAUGCCCUGCUAUUCAAAGUAUGCUCCACGGGGAUCAGCAGCCUGGCCAUCAUCACCAAGGAGUGAGGACAUGCGAGACCUCAGACCUACUGAAUCAGAAUCCACUUUUAACGAGUGUGGUUCAGAAGGCAGACCUCUAACUCCGGAUCUUGAAGGAAAUGAAGAAGCAGCGUUCCUAUCCUCUUCCCAAUUCAGCCCCCUCUACUCUCAAAGAGGGCUUCAGGGAAGCAGUGUUCUCUCUCUGGGGAGUCAAUUUACUGGCAGCCCCACCUUGUGGUGGAAAUAGCCAUACAAGAUAAUGAGGUGUCCAUGGAAUUUGCUACCAUUCAGUCUUUUUCUGGCUUACUGCACUAGCCUUUUCUGUAAUUUCUAUCAAUUAGCAUGACUUCAUUUUUUCCUGUUACUCCCUUACCUCUCCCUUACCCUUUCUCUCUGGCUCCUUUCUCUCUGUUCCUCCCCAUUUUUAUUUAGGUGUUGCAACUAGUUGCCUAGGGCCAGGGUUCACAUGUUUUGAUUGGCUGUCAGAGUAUUUUAAGAAAAUCUUAAUUUGAAUGGCUUUAGAUAAGCAUGUGCUCCUGACACCACCACAGGCCCACCAAUCCCUAUUGUCUUGCACCCAGCCCAGCCUGAUGCCCUAAUUUACAUUACUUCCCCGACCCCCGUGGGCAUUUGAGUUUGUGAAUCAGCAGUGUUCCUGUCCUUCUGCCUGCUGGAAGACCUUCAGGGGUGAAGAGUUUAUCAUCCCCCACUCUAAAGGGAAUCAAAGUACUGCUAUUGACCAAUUCCUUUUUACGCAUUUCCCUCAUUUUUAUCAUGGGAUUUCCCACAUCAGUUAUUUCCUUUCUCUCUCUGAAAUUCUCACAUUACAUCAUCUCUUUCCUAUUCUCUUUACGUGGUACCAUGUCUUAGGAAUGUGAACUUGAUAAAUUAGUACUAUACCGGAUGUGAAUUUUAAAAUAAUUAAUGUCUAAUCAUUCCUGGCACCUUACUCAAUCUCAGUCAUCAUUAACAUUAUGAGACCCACGGUUGCAUUAUUUUCUUCACCAUACUUUAUCAGUACAUUCUUCUUCAUUCUCCCGGAAACCAAUUAUCUUCUUAUAUUCAAAAUCCACACAAGAAGCAUAUUUUCCAUAUGAUACAGCAAUUCCACUCCUAGUGUACAUCCACGCUAAAGAACAAAAUUCAGCUGAGUAAGUUUGUAGAUGAAAGCAGCUUUAUCCAAUGAUUCAUGAAUGGAGCAGCGUGCCAGCUAGCAAACAGAAGGGAGCUCUGAGGAGCUGUACAAAAUGGAAGGCUUUGACAGGUAGAAGGGGGAAAGACAGGAUUGUUUCAGGCAAGGCCACCUUCCUUUGGAGGACAGAGGGAUCUAUCGGGUGGAUUACCAGGAAAUUCCAGACUGACCAGAUAAGUCUACAUUCCUGGGGGAGGCUGAAACUGCAAUUAGGUCGUAUGAAGUCUCAGUUUGGUGACACGAGCUUAACACAAGUGACUCCAUUUUGAGCCUGCUGUCUCUUUUUUACACCCAAGAGGAAUGAAAACAUUUGUCCAUGCAAAAAUUUGCAUGCAACUGUUUACAGCAGCAUUAUUCAUGGUAACCAGAAGGUGGAAACAACCUAAAUGUCCAUCAAUAGGUGAAUGGAUAAAUAAAAUGUGGUAUAUCCAGACAAUAGACUAUGAUUCAGCCAUAAAAAGCAAUGAAGUACUGAUAUAUGCUACAAUAUGGAUGAAACUUGAAAAUAUUACAGGAAGUCAAAGAAGGCAGUCACAAAGGGCCACAUAUUUUACGAUUCCAUUUAGAGAAAAUGUAUAGAAUAGCUAAAUCUAUGCAGACAAAGAGUAUAUUAAUGGUUGCCCAGGGCUGAGGUGGGGGUUGGUUUGCAGGUAGAGGGUAACAGAUCCAGGGUUUCUUUUGGGGGUGAUGAAAAUAUUCUAAAACUGAUUGUCAUGAUGGAUGCACAAUUCCGUCCAGUAUUUAAUGAAUUUCCUAAAAAGCCAUUGAAUUGUACACUUUAAAUGGGUGAAUUAUAUGGUAUGUGAAUUAUAUCCCAGUAAAGUUGCUUUAAAAUCCAUAUACUAAACUUCGCAUAUUUAGUCAAAUGAUUUUCAACAAGGGUGACAAGCCCAUUCAAAGAGGGAAAGGACAAUGUUUUCAAUAAAGUUGUUGGGGAAACUGGAUAUCCAUCUGCAAAAGAAUGAAUUUGGAUCUUUAACUUAUAUCGUAUACAAAAAUUAACUCAAAACGGAUCAAAGACGUCAAACUAUAAAACUCUUAGCAGAAAACAUACGGGAAGCUUCAUUGCAUGGAAUUUGACAAUGAUUUUUUGGCUAUAACACCAAAAGAACAGGUAACAAAAGUAAAAAUACAUCAAAAUUUAAAACUUCUGCACAUUAAAGGACACAAUCAACAGAGUGACAACCUUCAGAAAAGGAGAAAAUCUUUGCAAACCAUAUAUCUGAUAAGAGUUUAAUAUCCAGAAUAUAUAAGGAACUCCUACAACUCAAAACAUAUAACCAUAUUAAAAAACGGUGAAGGACUUAAAUAGACAUUUCUCUAAAGAAGAUACACAAAUGACCAAUGAGCAUAGGAAAAGAUGCUCGACAUCACUAAUCAUUAGGGAAAGGCAAAGACAACCACAAUGAGAUAUCACCUCUUAUCCAUUAGGAGAGCUGCUGCCAAAAAAAAAAAAAAAAAAACACACAGAAAAUAACCACUGUUGGGGGUUGGGGAGGGUGUGGAGAAAAUGGAACCCUUGUGCACUGUUGGUAGAAGUGUAAAAUGGUAUAUCCACUGUGGAAAACAGUAUGGCAGUUCCUCAAAAAAUUAAAAAUAGAACUACCAUAUAAUCCAGCAAUAGUACCUCUGCAUAAAAAAGAAUUGAAAGCAAGGUGUUGAAGAGAGAUUUGUGCACCCAUGUUCACAACAGCAUUCUUCACAAUAGCCAAAAGUGGAGGCAACCCAAAUGCCCAUCAACAGAUGAAUGAAUAAAUAAAAUGUGUUAUAUACAUAUAAUGGAAUAUUAUUCAGCCUUAAAAAGCAAGGAAAUUCUGACACAUGCUAUAACAUGAAUAAACUUUGAGGACAUUCUGCUAAGUAAAUAAGCCAGUCACACAAAGACGAAUACUGUAUUAUUCCACGUGUAUAAGGUACCUAGAGUCAUCAAGAUCAUAGAGACAGCAAGUAGAAUGGUAGUUGCCAGGGGCUGGGAGAAGAGGGGAAUAAGGAGUUGUUCAAUGGGUCCAGAGCUUCAGUUUUACAAGAUGAAAAAUUCUGGAUUUGGUUCACAAUAAUGUGAAUAUAUUUCAUACUACUGAAUUGUACACUUAAAAAUGGUUAAGAUGGUAAAUAUGAUGUUUAUUCUAGUACAAUUAAAAAUAAAAUAAAUAAUAAAUCCAUAUACAUUGGCCGGAGCUGGGAUGAGCGAUCCCCCAUUUACUGAGUUAACUGUUAACUUUAAAAAAAAAAGAAGUCCGUUGCCUUACAGAGAGCAGGCCCCUCCACUGCUUCAGGGUAGCUUAGUGUUUCUUUUUAAAGUCAGAAUAGGAUGGAAUAUGCACUAUCUGCUAACUUGAACAUUUUCUUAGGAAGUCUUCCUUUUAAUUAAAGAGACUUGCAAUACUAUUUGUAUCCAGGAAAUAUCGACAAAUAGACUCCAAAUGAGUGUUCUGAUCCUGGGGCAUUGGUAGAAAGUGGCAGGCGCAGACUGGGCUCCCUCCGCCAGCCAUAUAUUUUGACUCCAGAAUCCCUGUAGCCUGAAAUGGUUCCUUCCACUGUCAGCCUACCCAAGCCUAGCUCAGCUUUCUAUCCCCCCAUUUCUUUGACCCUUUUUUUCUCUCUCCCUUUUCUCUUGGAAG